AAUGUUACGUUGUUUUGUUCCUACUAUGAAGUUUUGUAUAGUUUUUUGUUUUUCAUCGGUCACUUAGACACAAAUACAGUCACAAGAAGAAAUCGCUGCCUUAUUUAAUUAUCUAAAAAGCCAAGAAUUUGUGAAUUUUGUUUGCUUAUAAAAUAUAAUAGUAUUUUUUACUUUAUCUUUUGAAACAACUAUCGAUUUGUCAAUCAUCAAUGCUAAACCAAUUAUAGUGUUUAUUCCUUGCAUGGGGCUGUUUGGGUGGAACGCGACUCCCCCAUCGACCUCGCAUUCCUGAACGGGUUUCCCGGAUGGCAUGUAGGACAUUUGGGAGAAAUGAGUCCUUCCUUUCCACAUCCGAAGCAUAAAACCUUCCAAUUGGAAGACAAACCAUUUUUAAAUUUGUGGCCUAUCUGUUUACAAUUCCAACAAUCCAAGGAUUUGGAAUCGCUUGACCCACGAGAUGUUUUUGGUCGAGUCCCCGGAUGUUGAAAUGCUGCCAAAUGCUCACCCUGAUGAGAACCAUCCAUGUAACGCGACUGCGUAAAACGAAAAUCGUUUAAGGCUGAACGAUACUCGUUUUUUCAAUACGACUGACAUUUUGCUGUCGUUUGGCUUUGGUUUUGUUGUGGAAAAUAUUUUGUGUCUACUAGUGAUAUUCAUCUUGAAAUAAUUAAAAUAUAAAAGUAAUUGGAAGAGAAGAUGUAAAUAAAUAAAUUUUUUAUUCGUCGUUUAAAAAAUAUUUCGUGUCUGCCAGUGAUAUUCCUGUUCGGCUAAAAAAUGUGAAUGCAUUAUAUUUGGAAAUGAAGAAUGAAAAUAAUCAAAUAUUUUAUACAUUAAAUAGGCCGCCAACAAAUGGAUGCUGUUAUCAUAUGUAUGGAAAACAAUCCCGGCCUUGCUAAGAAUUAUUUGCCCAACACCCAAGCCAAGGCUAAAUCCAAAAUACUUUGGAUUUGGCAGACACUCUUAAUGCAAGUGGACUUCCGAAAAAAAAAACAUCGAUGGCUGGAAAAGCGUAUCGCGUAUGUUCUUUUAAACAUAAGAAAAAUUAUCUUUUUUAUGUUAUUUAUGGUGUGGAAAUACUAGAAAAUAGGUAAAAUCAGAAAAAAAACAGUUUUCUAUUAGAAAUUUAAUUUACUUUUUUUUGUUUGUUUAUAUAGCCAAUUUUGACAGUCACAAUUAGGAGUGAAGUUAGUUGCGCUUGAAAAAAGAAUUAAUUCAUUAUCGUUUUAUGUAGUCGCUCUUUGUCGCGACUAUCGUUUGUCGUGGCUAUCGUUGUUUUGCCGUUCGUUUCGUAUUAUGUAAUAGGCCCCCUGAGCUGAGACCUAAUCCUAUUCACGGCCGCGAAGUAUUGGUCAAAUGUCUCAGCAAAGCCAUGCUUCCGAUCCAUCAUAUCCCUUACCAACUCGUAAUCAGAUCGCGAAUUUUUAUAUUGGCGCAUCAAGGCGUCACGAAGCUGUGGCCAAUCGGGACGAUAAAAUGUUCGCUGGAAUUGACAAUACCACUCUUUCGCAGCACCGGAUAGUAGUAGACGGAAUUCCCUUAGAACCUCGGCCCAUGGACAUGCGUAUAGGCUCUGGAGCAUCUCUACUUGGAACACGAAUUCUUCUACCAAAUAAUGGUGUGAACUACAUUGUGGCGUCGGAUAGUACCCACCUUGAGGCUGAUGUGUACCUCCAAAACCUUCCUGGAAGUCAGGUUAGGACCUAGUGUCGCGGAAUGACCGUUGAUUACCCGCUCUAGGAUUCCCUACCGGAACAAAAGGUCUAGAAGAUGUAUUCAAUUGCGUGGGAUUUGCUACUCCUGUAUUUUGCUGCGCUGCAGGUAAGUCAUUCUGAUUAUGACCACAAGCUCUUACUUCCUCUCUCAUACUCGCGGUAUUUACUACCCCUACCACUUAGCUCAUCAAAAUGUUUUCUCAUCUCUACCAUCAGAGACUGUGACAACUCAUUUCUUAUUGUUGAAGUGUAUCUCUCGCAAGCACUCAUGACCGCAUUAUUUAUUUCCGCGAUAAGACCCUUUGGUAUGGUGUUAUGGGCAUUUUCGCCCCCUUCAUUUCCCUCAUUGGACACUGUUUCCCUAUCAACCUGAUACCCAGAAUCCUUUUCGGACCCAGUUGUGUUCACCCUUUGCUCAUUUGUUACCCCCCCUGAGUUGGCAUCGUUUAUGGUCAACUCACUGAAGGCUGGUGAAACUACUGUGUCUGCCGUACUGCCCCUUUGGCUACCUGACGGUGGAAUUGGUGGUGGUGGUACGGAAAACAUUGGAACUUGAUUCCCCUCCCCUGUUUACGCAAUCGACUUGGGGUCGGCUGAUUUCGGUGGGGAAUGGGUAAUAGGCAUUUUCUCUAAUUUGCUUGCUAAAUUUUUAAAUUGAGAGCGAGUGGUCGCCCGAUUUUGCUGGUAUAUUAAAUAGUCUCUUUUCUCUUUUUCAGAGCUCAUUACAACAUAAACUUGCGAACACGAAUUAACUUUGCUCUCCAAUCAACACUAACAAUUUUAAAACAUAAAAAAAAAAUAUGAAAAAAAACUAUACUCUUUGAAAAAAAAACUAUGUAAAUAUGUAUAUUAGUGUGGUCCACCUUAUAAGGCAAAAAAAUAAACUAUAUAAUUCAUUACUUAACCACCCAUUAUUUUGCUACACAUACAGUAGCGAGCAAAAAAAAUGCAAACCAAAAAGUUUUAAAGAGUUUUGAACAAGAACUAAGUAACCAAAUAAGGCAUAUUGAAACUGUUUUAUUUUCAUUAAACAGAGUCAAUUCGUUCAAUAUUUUACUCCAAAAACAUUAUUUGGUCAAAAGUCUACUUUUAUAUGCGUUUUUAGACGAGCAAAAAAAU